UGAACUCACAGAAAUAUGCGUGCCUCU
rnacentral:piRNA from 1 species